CCUACGGGGGGCAGCAGUGGGGGAUAUUGCACAAUGGGGGGAACCCUGAUGCAGCGACGCCGCGUGGGUGAAGAAGCGCCUCGGCGCGUAAAGCCCUGUCAGCAGGGAAGAAAAGGACGGUACCUGAAGAAGAAGCCCCGGCUAACUACGUGCCAGCAGCCGCGGGAAUACGUAGGGGGCAAGCGUGAUCCGGAUUUACGGGGGGUAAAGGGGGCGCAGACGGGGAUGCAAGCCAGGAGGGAAAGCCCGGGGCCCAACCCCGGGACUGCUCUGGGAACUGCGUGGCUGGAGUGCAGGAGGGGCAGGCGGAAUUCCUGGUGUAGCGGUGAAAUGCGUAGAUAUCAGGAGGAACACCGGUGGCGAAGGCGGCCUGCUGGACUGCAACUGACGUUGAGGCCCGAAAGCGUGGGGAGCAAACAGGAUUAGAUACCCUAGUAGUC
rnacentral:rRNA from 1 species